GACGAACGCUGGCGGCGUGCCUAAUACAUGCAAGUCGAACGCAGUGGGGACGGGUGAGUAACACGUGGGUAACCUCCCAUCAGAGGGGAUAACACUUGGAAACAGGUGCUAAACCGAUACUGAUGGAUGGACCCGCGGUGCAUUAGCUAGUUGGUGAGGUAACGGCUCACCAAGGCCACGAUGCAUAGACGAACUGAGAGGGUGAGCGGCCAAACUGGGACUGAGACACGGCCCAGACUCAUACGGGAGGCAGCAGUGGGGAAUGUUGGGCAAUGGACGAAAGUCUGAUCGAGCAAUGCCGCGUGAGUGAAGAAGGUUUUCGGAUCGUAAAACACUGUUGGUAGAGAAGCGGUAUCUAACGAGAAAGCCACGGCUAACUACGUGCCAGCAGCCGCGGUAAUAG
rnacentral:rRNA from 1 species